GACGAACGCUGGCGGCGUGCUUAAUACAUGCAAGUCGAGCGCUGAAGGUUGGUACUUGUACCAAGUGGGUGAGCAGCGAACGGGUGAGUAACGCGUGGGGAAGCAGCAUUUGAGCGGGGGACAACAUUUGGAAACGAAUGCUAAUACCGCAUAAGAACUUUAAACACAAGAUCUAAGCGUGAAAGAUGCAAUUGCAUCACUCAAAGAUGAUUCCGCGUUGUAUUAGCUAGUUGGUGAGGUAAAGGCUCACCAAGGCGAGGAUACAUAGCCGACCUGAGAGGGUUGUCGGCCAACAUGGGACUUGGGCACGGCCCCAACCUCUUCGGGUGGGAGCCGUAGGGGAUUCUUGGCGAUGGCCGAAAGGCUGAACGGACAACGACGGGUGCAUGGAUAAGGUUUUCGGGUCGUAAAAGUCUGUUUGUAGAGAAGGACGUUGGUCAGAGUUGACAGCUCAUCUAGUGACGGUACCUACCCAGAAAGCCACGGCUAACUACGUG
rnacentral:rRNA from 1 species